UACGGAGGGUGCAAGCGUUAAUCGGAAUUACUGGGCGUAAAGCGCACGCAGGCGGUUUGUUAAGUCAGAUGUGAAAUCCCCGGGCUCAACCUGGGAACUGCAUUUGAAACUGGCAAGCUUGAGUCUUGUAGAGGGGGGUAGAAUUCCAGGUGUAGCGGUGAAAUGCGUAGAGAUCUGGAGGAAUACCGGUGGCGAAGGCGGCCCCCUGGACAAAGACUGACGCUCAGGUGCGAAAGCGUGGGGAGCAAACAGG
rnacentral:rRNA from 1 species